rnacentral:rRNA from 1 species
UGCAAGUCGAACGAUGACCCCCAGCUUGCUGGGGUGAUUAGUGGCGAACGGGUGAGUAACACGUGAGUAACCUGCCCUUGACUCUGGGAUAAGCCUGGGAAACUGGGUCUAAUACUGGAUAUGCACCGUGGACCGCAUGGUUCUUGGUGGAAAGAUUUAUUGGUCAGGGAUGGACUCGCGGCCUAUCAGCUUGUUGGUGAGGUAAUGGCUCACCAAGGCGACGACGGGUAGCCGGCCUGAGAGGGUGACCGGCCACACUGGGACUGAGACACGGCCCAGACUCCUACGGGAGGCAGCAGUGGGGAAUAUUGCACAAUGGGCGAAAGCCUGAUGCAGCGACGCCGCGUGAGGGAUGACGGCCUUCGGGUUGUAAACCUCUUUCAGUAGGGAAGAAGCGAAAGUGACGGUACCUGCAGAAGAAGCGCCGGCUAACUACGUGCCAGCAGCCGCGGUAAUACGUACGGCGCAAGCGUUAUCCGGAAUUAUUGGGCGUAAAGAGCUCGU